rnacentral:rRNA from 1 species
UAGUCUGCAACUCGACUACAUGAAGCUGGAAUCGCUAGUAAUCGUAGAUCAGCAUGCUACGGUGAAUACGUUCCCGGGUCUUGUACACACCGCCCGUCACACCACGAGAGUUUGUAACACCCGAAGCCGGUGGAGUAACCUUUUAGGAGCUAGCCGUCGAAGGUGGGACAAAUGAUUGGGGUGAAGUCGUAACAAGGUAGCCGUAUCGGAAGGUGCGGCUGGAUCACCUCCUUUCUAAGGA